GAUGAAGAACGCAGCGAAAUGCGAUAAGUAAUGUGAAUUGCAGAAUUCAGUGAAUCAUCGAAUCUUUGAACGCAUCUUGUGCUCCUUGGUAUUCUGAGGAGCAUGCCUGUUUGAGUGUCAUUAAAUUCUCAACUACACUGACUUUGAAUUGGUGUGGCUUGGAUUUGGGGGGAAAAUUGUUGUGGGCUUUUUGUAUAGUCUGCUCCCCUGAAAUUGAUUAGCGGUACCUUUGUGGAACUGUCUACAGGUGUGAUAAUUAUCUACAUCUUAGACAUCUGCUGGAAUGCUGCUCUCUAAACCUUACUUGUAUUGACAAUCUUGACCUCAAAUCAGGUAGGACUACCCGCUGAACUUAAGCAUAUCAAUAAGCGGAGGA
rnacentral:misc_RNA from 1 species